rnacentral:lncRNA from 1 species
GGGGGCCGAGGCGGGGAAACCGCGGGGGGGAGGAGACCCGAGGCGCAGCGAGUGGCGCCGGAGGGGAGGGGCUGGCGGCCUCCCGCUGCCCACCUGGGCUCGCGCCCCUCUGCGGCGCCCGCUCUUCAGCUGCCUGGGACCCAGAUUACCCGUGUUAGCUCCCACCCCCUCCAUUUCGAAACAGCCUCGCGCGGGGGGGUGGGGGGCCGUGUGUGUGCCAUUAUUGCUCCCUGAAAUUUGCAGACCCGAGAGGAAAGCGAUUCGCAGCGUCGCUCGUAUUUGAAUCGAAACCCAGAGCAAUUUGGGAAGAAACUCGGGGCACAUUUGCAAAAGGACAGCUAGCUUGAAAAGCCGAGGCCAGAGCAGGCUGCUCACCAAGGCCGCUCCGCGCCCACCCCACCCCUGCUCGCCGCCUCUCGUAAAUCACUAGGGGCACAGUCCUUGCAUUGGUGACUUUUGAACAAGCCCCUCCUCGGCAACCAAAGUUCGUUCCGAGUAUGAGGGGGGAAAGAGGGGUGGGGGAGGGACAUUUGGAACGCAGGAGAAAUGCAGUCCGAUCGGAAUCGCCAGACAAGCACCAAAAAAAGCGUGUGGAUUCCCCUUCUGCAAGGUCUCGCUGCGCCCACAUCUCGGAAGAAACGAAGAGGAAAACAGAAGAGCCCUCGCAGUUAAAACCCAGCCAUUUCCAGAGACAGCCACACCUCCCUCCCCCGCCCCCCCAUAGAGAUAAUGGCCUCAAGGAUACCAAUAGAGUACUUUCAGAUGAAUGAUUGAAGCUUUAUGCCAAGCAUUUUAAUAGUUCUCAAUAGAAUUUUAGUCUUUGAGAGCUUCAAAACCAUGGCUUGCCUAUAAACAUCAAACUUGACUGAUUUUGCAGAGCAACAGUGAAGGCAUAAAUAGCCCUGAGCUGACUGACCAAGACCUGGGUCCCAAUCUUGGCUCUGACAUCCACCAAUUAACUAUGUGACCUGCAGCAAUGCUCUCUUUUUUGCAACUAUAGUCUCCAUUACUGUAAACCAAUGGACUCAGUCUUCUUGGACAAAUUCCUUCUGGCUCCCCUUUGGUUUUGGUGUUUGGUGCCAUGAGACCAAAAUUACGGAUGACCUGCCUUUUUGUUUCCUCAUGGUACUUUUUAGUUUACUGUGCUCCUUUUAUCUGCAGUAUUCUCCCUAAAUGCCUGUGGGAAUCCAUCGGAAAUUUAAGAACCAUGCUAACCUUGCAGACCACUUGCUGCAAUCUUCUCAUUUUAUAGUUGAGGAAACAGGAGCAAGGAGGUUAAGACCCAGGAGUGGAGCUGGAAAGGCAGAGAGAUGACUAACAUGACUGCAAAGCCCGUGUCCAUAUCUUACCUUAAGCUCCAAUUUAGCCUUUAAGGAUGAUGUCAAAUACCUACUCCCCCAUGGAAACUUCGUUCGUCUACUCGAUUUAGUACAAGCUGUACGUGUUUUGACUCUCUCAUACCACCUUCUCCCCUUUGCACCAUAUGCCUUUGCUUGUGUCUCUCUUAGGAGAUCACUCUUGCUAUGUUGGGUUACAGAGGUCUGUGUUCUUGUGCCUUUUGAAGGCAUCUUGAGCCUACAGCCUGCAUUUGCUUAUCCUUUACCUUCAUAAGGAUUUUACUAAAUAUUCAUUACAUGAAAUUAGAUCACAAUUUCUCAUUUCCCAAGCAAUUUCACUUGAAUAACUCAGCCAGAUUUGACAACAGUUUUGCAAGGUAACCAGGUCUGUUGUUCAGUUUUCUUAGUAGUGAGCAACAGAAACGGACUGGCUGAAAUAAGCAAAAAAGGAAGUGAAAAGAUAGGGAGACGCUCCCAUAAUUUCUGGAAAGGCAGCAACAUAAGUCUCAGAAAAGUGAAUGUGAACCAAAACCCAGAGCUUCUGCUUGAUAAUGGUCUGUGGGGAUAGCACUGAGCACCGCUGGACACUGGAGCCUCCAGGUGACACUCCCACUGUGGCCAACACCAAGUGUAAGUCGGCAGCCCUGAAGCCACUGCCUCUGCUGCUCUUGGACUCAGGUGUCACUGCAGCCAAUGACCAGCGAUGUUUCCCUCUCUGUCACUAUAAAAUCAAAGGUCUAGGCAGGAUCAGAUUAUAACAGGUUAAGUAGCAACAUUAUCAUUUAAUGUUUGAGAAAACAGAGACAUGGCAGGUUCAGUGAUUUCUUUUUUUUCAGGUUCACACAAUUAUCGACAAAACCAGAAGUAACUAAAUUAGAUGAAAUACAUGAGUUUGAAUUCAAGUAGUCUACUGGAAGCUGCUUUUCCUUUUACAUUCUGAUACAUGCCAUUCUUCACUUUUAAGAACUUUUGGCAAACCUUCCUACUUUUUUUCUUCCUCCAAGAAGGGUUAUUGAGCACUAUAGAGUAGGGGAAGUGGCUCACAGCAGCCUUAUCUUCUGACAGCCUUUGGUUGUGGGGAUCGCUGGAUGUCUGUACUUGGGAACCUCCUCAAACCCCACAGUCAUGAAGAUCUCUCUUGUGGCGGCAAGUCAUUCAUGGAGGAGAGAGGUCAGCUCACCAAGGCUGCGGAGGCCUGUGCUGAGCCAGCAGGAGGAGUUCAGUGUGGCCUGGAGGUCAGCACAAGGCCCUGACCUGGCACCCUUUAAAAUAGUUUUCCCAAAGAUUUGGCUUGUGGCUUGUUGUGCUCUUUUAAGCCAGUGAUCCCGGGCAUUCAUAUCUGAGGAUUUUCCACUUGUAAGUUUUCAAACAAAACUCAGAAUGAAGUGGAAUUUAAACACAGUUUGAACAAGAGACUGCUGCUCAGCUGAACCAACAAGAAUUGAAACAAAGAACAAAUAAGGAGAAAAGCUCUUCUCUUAUUGGGAUUUAUGGCAUGACUUCUGUAGAUUUCUUACAGCAAUCCUAUUGUUUGACUUUCAUUAACAGGCCUCUGUGGAAAUGCUCACUGUGUCCUUGGCACAGACAAGAGGAGAUUGAACCAAAGGCCCCCUUAAACAGUGCUCUCUCCUGUCAUCUCUCUGGUGUUUUAAGUUCUAAGUUCUGUGAGAGGGUGUAAUGCAAGGGAUACAUUUAAAUUAAAAAAAAAAAAAAGGUCUAUUUGUCUAAUCCUUAGACCAUCCAAGGUCAAGUGGCAAGUAAGUUGCGGAGCUAGAACUCCAACCCAUCUCCGUAGGCUUUCAAUGCCCCUCUUCUAUAACCAGAAUAACAUAUUUCCCUCAUGUAUGUCCCGAUAUCAUUCUAUAAAUUGUUUACAUUAUUUAGAAAUGCAGAUAAUCAUACAUUUGAAACUGAUACAACACUGUAUGUCAACUCUACUGGAAUUAAAAUAAAAUAAUUUCUAAAAUAAAAAGAAAAAAAGAUCUAUCUAAUUUGAAUCUGAGGUGAGUGGUGCCCACACUUCUAGAGGGGAAAAAGCUCCUUUACUUGAGUUGUUCUAAUACAGAAGUACAAAGUCAUAACCUACAGAAACUAUCACAGAUUUGUUUUCAGGAAUAAUUACUUGAGAUGAAUCAGUUCUUGAAAAUGAUUUCAUUAACAGAUCACUUAAAAAUUUCCAGAAAUAUUCUCUUUUAUUGUUUGUGUAUGCAUCAGUCUCCACAAUGCCUUUUCCCCCCAGUUUUCUAGCCUUGACUGGAAAGACCAGCCUUGCUCCUGCCAGCACCAACCCCGGGCUCUCCAGCAGGGCUCCCCAGAUUCACUUCCUGGAGGGCCGGUCCUGUUAUCUUUUUUGGCAGGUCCGCCAAAUUCCAGUUCCCCAUCCUCUACCUUCCUGUCUAGUAUUUACCUUUCACCAUCUAGAUUAGAGGGUCAUUUGGCUGCAGCAAGAAAUCCUCCAAUGACAGAAGAUUUGCUACUCGGGUGGAAGUCCGGUUCAUCACUGAAAAGCUGUAAUUGUUAGAAAGCUCAUCCUUCUAUAAAGUUGGAAACUGCCUUCUGGUGACCUCCAUCUGUUCUCUUCUGUGGCAUGAAAUGGAUUCUAUCUACUCCUGCUUCCACCUGACAGCUCUCAGGUAUUUGAGGUCAACAAUCUGACCCCCACCAUGUUAUCUUAAUCCAGACUAAAUAUUGAUGCUUUGCUCAACUAUUCCUUAUGACACGUUCCCCAAGGCCCCUCGCCAUUUUGUUCACUGAAUCUCAGUGUCUCUUUUAAAAGGUGGCACCAAGGCUCAAUAGCUUUCUUGGGAUUGCCUAGCUGAUAAGUGACGGGGCUGGGAUUUGAACCCAGGUAGUAUAGAUCCAGUGAUGGGGUUCUUCUGUCUGUUCUUCUGACAAUUCUAUCUGUCAACAUUGUGCCUCAAUCAUUUAUGGUUUAGGGAUAUUUUAAAGUAGAACAAGCUACAUCAUCCCCCUAAACAGCUUUUGACACAGUAGAAGGAAAUUAACUGGAAAGAUCCCCAGCUCCAUUCUUACCUUUUAAAUUCUCAAAAAAUAAUAAAAAAUAAAUAAAUAAAUAAACCACAGCAUAAAUAAAAAAGGAAAAGAGAAGAACAAGAAUGCUAAGGUAUGAAGGGUGUGUACGCUGUUACCACAUUUGUUUAUUGUUGAUAUAUUAGUUACUUCCCAGUGAUUGGAUGAUAUUUUUAUUCCUUUGAAGUCGUCGUUGCAAUUUCAAGAAUUUAUCUUAGGAACUAAUCCAAGGUUGAAUUAAGCUCUAUAUAAAUAAAGAUGUUUAUGGUACUCUUACUGAUUUUAAAAAGUCACAAAGAGGGAUGCCUGGGUGGCUCAGCAGUUGAGCAUCUGCCUUCGGCUUGGGGCAUGACCCUGGGGUCCGGGAUCGAGUCCCACAUCGGGCUCCCUACAUGGAGCCUGCUUCUCCCUCUGCCUGUGUCUCUGCCUCUCUCUCUGUGUGUGUCUCUCAGGAAUAAAUAAAUCAAAUCUUUAAAAAUUUUUUAAAAAUUCAAAGCCACAAAGAAAACUAAGUGUCUAAAACAAAAUUGUCUAAGUGUCUAAAAUGGAAAGAUUAAGAAAAAUCUAGUUUGUUGAUUCAUUUCAUUGGCAUGUAUAUUUUUAAAAUGAUAAUUAUGUGAGGGAGCAUCAUGGAGGAUGUAUAAUAUUAAAUAUGUAUGCUAUGAUCCCAGUAUAUGAAAGUAAUAUAAUAUACGGACAAGAACUGUAGUAAUAUGCAAAACAGAAAUCAUUGCUCUGCUAUUGGUAGAUUUGUGGAUGGCACUCUUUUUUUUUUUUUAGUUACCAUAUUUGUUGAAUUUAUUUUAAAAAUUAAAAAUUAUUCAGAUUUGUUUUUUUAAUAAUAAAUUUAUUUUUUAUUGGUGCUCAAUUUGCCAACAUACAGAAUAACACCCAGUACUCAUCCCGUCAAGUGCCCCCCUCAGUGCCCGUCACCCAG